rnacentral:sRNA from 1 species
GCCAGGCACAGUGGCGAAUGCCUGUGAUCCCAGCGACUCGGGAGGCUGAGGUAGGAGGAUCAUGAAUUCAAGCCAGCCUUAGCAACUUAGCGAAACCCUCUCUCUA